rnacentral:lncRNA from 1 species
ACCUAGGGAGUGUCUUGUGGUCCGAGAAGGGUAGAUGAAAAGCAUGUCUAUCCUUAGUGACUUCCAAGUGGCUUGCUAUCUGCGAGAGCAAGUUACAAACAGUUUCUGGCUUAGAAAACUCUGUGCUGUGGAUGGCAAAGAUACCUGAUCUUGUUUCGAGUCAAGGAGCUGAGAAGCCAUCCGUGCUGCUCCUACCUUGCACAAGAGCUGUGACACUCACCGCGGUUGAAGCCAGCGGGGCCAAGAACCUCGGACUC